GGAUGGAGAAACGUUUCUUGAGUGAUGUUUAAAUUUGGUUUAUCCUUACCUAUAUGGAGGGCUUCUAGGAGACAGACGUCGGGGAUCCCCGACGUCUGCGCCUCCAUAUAGGUAAGGAGAAACUAAAUUUAAACUCAAGAAACGUUUGUCCUUCCUUAUAUUUGAGCCUGCAGUCACAUAUAAUAUCCUUUAAGAGGGAAUUUAUGUAAGUUUUCUCUUUUUUAAAUGGCAAACUAAAGUAGAGAACAGGAGACUAUAAGGUUUUUCGUCGUUUUAAUGUAGUACAUAGCAAAUUUCGUAUUAAGACUGAGAUCAUUUUUACUUUAUUUACUCUAUUAAUCCACCUUCCUUUAUAUUCUGUGCUCUGUGGCAUUAAUAAUUUAGUUUUUUAUUGUAUUUAAAAAAGCCUACCUUAUGAAUAGCAUUUGAAGGCUGACGGGAGACUAGUGUGCUCUCUCUCUCUCUCUCUCUCUCUCUCUCUCUCUCUCUCUUAUAAAUGUCAAAAUAUAUAAAACGUAAACAAAUCUUGAACUUCCCAAAUUUAGGAAACCUGAAAAACAAGAUAAGCAAAAAACUACUAUCAAAUUUCGAACUACAUUGAUUAUUGAAUAUCUUAUGGAAUGGUAAUUGUCAGCAAAUUUAUAAAUUUUGAGGGGUUUUAGAAAAUUCCUCUUUUUUAGAUAAAAAUAUACUAAUAUUGUAACUGUAUGCAGAUGUUAGCCUAUGAACGUUUUAUAGCUACCUGGUUUUCGAUCUUUCUUCCUAUUUAGAUGGGGAUAUUAAGCUCUAAUGAUUUUUUCUUUGAUAUAUUGCCAAUAAUAAUGAUAUGAACUAAAAACUUCCAAAAAUUCCAGCUGUAGAUGGCGCUGCUUGUAUACAGGGACCUUAAACCAAGGCAUCUCAAAGCCCAUAAUGUAUGUCAAAUUAGUUGUAAACGAAACUGGGUGUUUGGGAGACAUCUUACCACUAUUUCGUUUUCUGCUGUGGAAGAAGUGAAUUUGCUCCAGUGAUUUUGGUGGUUUGUGUUACGAGAAAGGGCGUAAUGACAGACUGAAAAUGUUAAUCUGGUCUUCAAAGCAUGGUUUAACUGCAGUAUUGGCAUUUUUUCAGGAUUGCUAUCUUGCGAUCACUUGUCUGUAAGCUUAUCCUGUGGCGGUUGUUUGAAGCUACACUUCAGUCCACAGAAAACUUGGUUAUUGCGAUUGACUACGUGGAGGAAGUUUUGCAGUGAAAGAAGCCGAAGUAAGAAGAUAAUGUUAAUA